UAACUAUUGAAAAUUAAGUAAAUAGCAUAAUCACUCGACUAUUGCGGAUGUUACAUUCCAAAAUCCCCAUGAUAGGUGAAAAUCC